GGCCUCGUAGCUCAGCUGGUUGAGCAUACGCAUGCAAAGCGUUGGCGGCGUCCAUGCUUGGGUUCCAAUCCCACCGAUUCUG
rnacentral:tRNA from 1 species